rnacentral:rRNA from 1 species
CCAAUAGCGUAUAUUAAAGUUGUUGCAGUUAAAAAGCUCGUAGUUGAAUUUCGGGAUCAAAUUGUUGGUCGUGCUUCGGUACGCACUGGCAUUAUUGGUUCCUACCUUCUGAAGAACCGCGAUGUCAUUAAUUUGGUGUCGUGGGGAAUCAGGACUGUUACUUUGAAAAAAUUAGAGUGUUUAAAGCAGGCGUACGCUUGAAUACAUUAGCAUGGAAUAAUGAAAAUAGGACGUUUGAUUCUAUUUUGUUGGUUUCUAGGAUCGACGUAAUGAUUAAUAGGGAUAGUUGGGGGCAUUAGUAUUCAAUUGUCAGAGGUGAAAUUCUUGGAUUUAUUGAAGACUAACUACUGCGAAAGCAUUUGCCAAGGAUGUUUUCAUUAAUCAAGAACGAAAGUUAGGGGAUCGAAGACGAUCAGAUACCGUCGUAGUCUUAACCAUAAACUAUGCCGACUAGGGAUCGGAUGAUGUUAAUUUUAUAAUGACUCAUUCGGCGCCUUACG